rnacentral:lncRNA from 1 species
GUGCCUUUGUGACACAAUGGGCCAGGACACCGUGGCCUGAGGCAGGGCCAGACCACCUUGUUUCUGGAUGGAGCCGGAGCUCUGGGGACAUGGCUGUGGCAGGAGACAAACUCCAACCAAGAGCCCAGAAUGUGGCUUUCUUUAGCAUGAAUCUUUCAACAGACUUCCUGGUGCUGGGUCUCCUUGUUCUCUCUUUCGUGUGACCGAGAGGCCAGAUGACCACGUAUAUGCCUAAGAGGAGAAGCUGCCACCUGUUGCUGUAAAUCUGGUACAAUUUCAUCAUCUCUUUG